rnacentral:rRNA from 1 species
UACAGAGGGGGCAAGCGUUGUUCGGAAUUACUGGGCGUAAAGGGCGCGUAGGCGGCCUUCUAAGUCGAACGUGAAAUCCCCGGGCUCAACCCGGGAACUGCGUCCGAUACUGGAAGGCUUGAAUCCGGGAGAGGGAUGCGGAAUUCCAGGUGUAGCGGUGAAAUGCGUAGAUAUCUGGAGGAACACCGGUGGCGACGGCGGCAUCCUGGACCGGCAUUGACGCUGAGGCGCGAAAGCCAGGGGAGCAAACGGG